GAACCACCUGGUUCAUGCCUGACCAGACUAUAUGCUCUCCUUCCUUCCAUCAAAGCCUUCUUUCUGCAGGCUCUCUCAGGUCCCCUGAGGAGUGAGAUGCCAACGUGCGAGACAAGAGCUAUGCGGGGCCCCUGCCCAUCUUCAACCGAAGCCAGCACGCACAUGUCAUUGAAGACCUGCACUGCAACUUGUGCGACGUGGAUGUGAGCGCUCGCUCCAAGCACUGCAGCGCCUGCAACAAGUGCGUGUGCGGUUUCGACCACCACUGCAAGUGGCUCAACAACUGUGUGGGCGAGCGGAACUACCGGCUCUUUCUACACAGUGUUGCAUCUGCCUUACUGGGCGUCCUACUCCUGGUGCUGGUGGCCACAUAUGUCUUCGUGGAGUUCUUUGUCAACCCCAUGCGUCUGCGCACCAACCGACACUUUGAAGUGUGGCACAAGCUCACCACCUAUGAGUACAUCGUGCAGCACCGCCCACCGCAGGAGGCCAAGGGGGUUCACAGGGAGCUCGAGUCAUGUCCUCCCAAGAUGCGGCCCAUUCAGGAGAUGGAGUUCUACAUGCGGACCUUCAGACAUAUGCGCCCAGAGCCCCCCGGCCAGGCCAG
rnacentral:sRNA from 1 species